UACGGAGGGUGCAAGCGUUGUUCGGAAUUACUGGGCGUAAAGCGCGCGUAGGCGGCUUAGUAAGUUGAGAGUGAAAGCCCCGGGCUUAACCCUGGAAUUGCUUUCAAUACUGCUAAGCUUGAGUAUGGUAGAGGAUAGUGGAAUUCCUAGUGUAGAGGUGAAAUUCGUAGAUAUUAGGAGGAACACCAGAGGCGAAAGCGACUAUCUGGGCCAUUACUGACGCUGAGGCGCGAAAGCGUGGGGAGCAAACAGG
rnacentral:rRNA from 1 species